rnacentral:lncRNA from 1 species
GGAUGUUCCAAGCAUGGGGUGGGGAAUAUGAAGAGGGAAGGCAUGGUAUGUGUGGACAAUAGUCCAAGUAUAGACCACCAGCAUGGAAUUGGUGUGGUGAUGAUACGUUAUUGUGUCAUUUUCCUGUCCACAAGCACAAUUCGACCUGCAGCACCCUGCGUAGGCAGCCAGUGUGUAAAUUACUGUAGCCCUGGGAUACGCAGCUAAGCAUGAAGUCAGUUGAAUGGAUAUCAGUGAAAUUGAGGUAAGAAGCUCUCCAGCCUGAAAGAAAACAAAUACAUUUCAAAC